rnacentral:rRNA from 1 species
CAGUCGUGCUGGCGCGAAAUCAACCCGCCUGCUGAGCGAUCACCUGCCGUGGCGAGCCUCAAAACCGCCACGACUCGUGACCACUUGACGGUCUGGUGCACUUUUGUGUCGGCUGGUUAACGUCAAUUUCUUACGUCAUAAAAGGCUGGAGGGAUGUGGCUUCUUCGGGAGUGUUAUAACCUUUGGCGGAAUGUGGUGUUUGGGAUUGAGGAUUGCAACGAAUACCUUUAGGGCUGUUCCACCUGGCCUCUCGUUGGUAUCCUGGCGGCGACAGCUUGCUGACGUCGUUAGGAUUCGCCUUCGAACAGGCUAGAGUGUGAGCAAA